UACGUAGGGGGCGAGCGUUGUCCGGAUUUAUUGGGCGUAAAGAGCGUGUAGGCGGCUGGGUAGGUCCGUUGUGAAAACUCGAGGCUCAACCUCGAGACGCCGAUGGAAACCCUCCAGCUAGAGUCCGGAAGAGGAGAGUGGAAUUCCUGGUGUAGCGGUGAAAUGCGCAGAUAUCAGGAAGAACACCCGUGGCUAAGGCGGCUCUCUAGUACGGUACUGACGCUGAGACGCGAAAGCGUGGGGAGCGAACAGG
rnacentral:rRNA from 1 species